AUAUAUAUUUUUCUGCUGACUUUUUGCCUAGUUUUACAGCCUUUGACAGAGAGGAAAGUAACACACACAAACUGAUCACAAAUGCUUUGAUAUAUAAUAUGAAAUGGUUUGUGUGAGGGGUGAUUUUUUGUCAUUUUUCUUGCUUGGAGGGACCAUUAAGAAACAUGAUCCCUGCCACCACCGGGUUAAGUUAAAGUUUUCUAAAGAAAGAAUUGCUACAUUACAUUUGUAAGUCACUGACACAACAAAAACACUCACCACCAUCACUUUGUUGAUGCGUCAUGGACAGCAAUAUUAGGUAGAACAUAAGAACAUAAGAACGCAGGAGUCUGCAAGAGGUCGGUAGGCCUGUACGAGGCAGCUCCUUUGACCCUAAGCUCCCGCGUAUCUAACCCCACCUAAUAUCGCUGUCCAUGAAUUUAUCUAGUCUAUUUUUUAAUGUGACAAUUGUAUUGGCACUCACCACAUGACUGCUAAGCCUAUUCCACUCAUCCACCAAUUUUUGCCUAUGUCCCUGUUGAAUCUGAAUUUAUCCAGUUUAAACCCGUUACUUCGUGUCCUACCCGGUUCUCUUACCAACAAAACCUUAUGAAUGUCUCCCUUAUUAAAGCCCUUCAUCCAUUUAUAAACCUCGAUCAUGUCUCCACGCACCCUUCGCCUGUAUAGAGAAUGCAAGUUUAACUGUUUGAGUCUUUCCUCGUAUGGCAAGUUUCUCAACCCCUGAAUCAUCUUAGUCAUCCUCCUCUGCACCGAUUCUAACAUUUUGAUAUCCAUUCUAUAGUAGGGUGACCAGAACUGAACCGCAUAGUCAAGAUGAGGUCUAACUAAUGCUAAAUAUAAUAGUUUGAGGAAGACUUCGGGGCUUCUGUUGCUUACGCUCCUUGAAAUAAAUCCCAGUACCCUAUUAGCUCGAUUUCUAGCUUGAAUGCAUUGUGCCCUUGGACGGAGAUCAGAGCUCACUAAGACCCCUAAGGUAGGGUUAGAUACACGGGAGCCAAGGUUCAGAGGAGCUGCCUCGUGCAGGUCUACCGGCCUCUUGCAGACUCCUAUGUUCUUAUGUCACUGGACGAGGUGGAAGGAUGCUUGGGUGCCAUAGUAGGGGUCAAAAUGCAGUGUAUGUAUUCCAGAGAAAGUUCCACUCACAGUGCUGGCUAGCUUCAGACUGAGGAGAAAGACAGGAGAAAGACAGUGUCUCCGCGCAGUGACGUCAUUGAUGAAACUCAUGUUAAAUCGAACAUAUUGCGUUAGUCAAAUGUAUCUACUUAACCCUUUCAUUGCUAAGUGCUCACAGCUAGACUAUCCCCUCAGGCGCGCUCGGGCACCCCAGCGGGGGAAGGGGAUCUCUUUUAACCGCUGUGUCUCAAAAACUAUUCAUCACAGCUACAAAACAAAAACACACACACACACACUUAAACCACACACACACACACACACACACACACACUUAAACCACACACACACACACACACACACACACACACUUAAACCACACACACACACACACACACACACACACACUUAAACCACACACACACACACACACACACACACACACACACACACACACACACACUCUGCAUUAAUUACACAUGUAUAUAAGCCCAGCAAAACUUACUACUAUUAUCAUUCUUCUUCUUCUUCUUCUUCUUCUUCUUCUUAUUAUUAUUAUUAUUAUUAUUAGGUCUGACAAGAGGUUAUUAGCUCAAAAAAUGAAUUAUCAACUGUUUAUUAAUAUCCUUCCUUAAUUUUAGAGACAAGAGGAGGAGGAGGAAGAAGAGGAGGAGGAAGAAGAGGAGGAGGAGGAGGACUUUGAAGACUGACAGACAGACAUCAUUCCUGUGGAUGUGUGAAGAAGAAGAAGAAGAAGAAGACUCUGCUCACAAGUCAGAAAUUCUGUCUCUCCGCUGUACCUCAUUGGAGAAGGUGUGUGUUGAUGCUGGGACCAAGAAGAAGAAGAAGAGGAAGAGGAGGAGGAGAAGGAAGAUGAUAAUCGCAACAGGAAGAUCAGAAGAAGAGGAGGAAGAAGAAGAAGAGGAGGAGGAAGAAUGGAAGAAGAAAAGAGAACACACACACACACACACA